AAACAGCUUUGAGGAAACCAAGGGAGCUUCUGUCCCACUUCCUUGUUCUCUUCUGAUCAAAUCUUGUUACCCAGCACAGGAAGUCACUGAAAAGCCCAGGAGCUUGAUGUGAGCUGUCAGCUGCAAAUGAGAUGCUGCCAGCAGAGCCAGGGGUGAGGAGACAACACCCACACAGGCUGGUGUGAUCAGAGCAAGGGAUCCUCUAAACAGCUUGGCAGAGAUUUUAUCAGAGCUGGGCAG